GCUAUAAUAAUAAUAAUGGACAGUCUCCGACAUAAGGUCCAAUUCACUUCAACUCCGCUUCGUUUAAGUACUCGGAGAAAGUAUAGUAUCUUUGAUGCUUUUGCUGCGAUGUAUUCAAUAUGCAAGUUCCAAUAAAGAUCAGACGAGAAAAUAAUUUAAGACCAAGGACUUUUGCUGACGAAACCCGGGAAAUACAAUGUUCUCCAACAAACAAUGGACGAAAGUUCGGUCUAUCUUUAGCAAACGAAAUGAUCAAUUCCUUACAUUUGGCGUGGUUAAGUACCAGAUCAUUCUCUGUACCAUACCUAAUUUUAGUGUGCAGUGAUAACCAUUUUGUGCAGUGAUAAAAGUAAAGCGUGCAGUGAUAAAAUGUAAAAUGUGCAAUGACAAAAUUUGCUGUGACAAAUUGUUAAGUAAGGAGAAAAUG